rnacentral:rRNA from 1 species
GAAAAAAAGAUUUUAUUUCCGGUUUUUGGAAUGACUCCGCGGCCCUAUCAGCUGUGUGAAGUAUGGUUCACCAAAGGCGACGACGGUAGGCGACUGAGAGGGGUGACCGUCCACAACUGGGACUGAGACACACCCAGACUCCUACGGAGCAGCAGUGGGGAAUAUUGCACAAUGGGCGAAAGCCUGAUGCAGCGACGCCGCCGUGAGGGAUGACGGGCUUCGGGUUGUAAACCUCUUUCAGUAGGGAAGAAGCGAAAGUGACGGUACCUGCAGAAGAAGCACCGGCUAACUACGUGCCAGCAGCCGCGGUAAUACGUAGGGUGCGAGCGUUAUCCGGAAUUAUUGGGCGUAAAGAGCUCGUAGGCGGUUUGUCGCGUCUGUCGUGAAAGUCCGGGGCUUAACCCCGGAUCUGCGGUGGGUACGGGCAGACUAGAGUGCAGUAGGGGAGACUGGAAUUCCUGGUGUAGCGGUGGAAUGCGCAGAUAUCAGGAGGAACACCGAUGGCGAAGGCAGGUCUCUGGGCUGUAACUGACGCUGAGGAGCGAAAGCAUGGGGAGCGAACAGGAUUAGAUACCCUGGUAGUCCAUGCCGUAAACGUUGGGCACUAGGUGUGGGGACCAUUCCACGGUUUCCGCGCCGCAGCUAACGCAUUAAGUGCCCCGCCUGGGGAGUACGGCCGCAAGGCUAAAACUCAAAGGAAUUGACGGGGGCCCGCACAAGCGGCGGAGCAUGCGGAUUAAUUCGAUGCAACGCGAAGAACCUUACCAAGGCUUGACAUGUUCUCGAUCGCCGUAGAGAUACGGUUUCCCCUUUGGGGCGGGUUCACAGGUGGUGCAUGGUUGUCGUCAGCUCGUGUCGUGAGAUGUUGGGUUAAGUCCCGCAACGAGCGCAACCCUCGUUCCAUGUUGCCAGCACGUAAUGGUGGGGACUCAUGGGAGACUGCCGGGGUCAACUCGGAGGAAGGUGAGGACGACGUCAAAUCAUCAUGCCCCUUAUGUCUUGGGCUUCACGCAUGCUACAAUGGCCGGUACAAUGGGUUGCGAUACUGUGAGGUGGAGCUAAUCCCAAAAAGCCGGUCUCAGUUCGGAUUGGGGUCUGCAACUCGACCCCAUGAAGUCGGAGUCGCUAGUAAUCGCAGAUCAGCAACGCUGCGGUGAAUACGUUCCCGGGCCUUGUACACACCGCCCGUCAAGUCACGAAAGUUGGUAACACCCGAAGCCGGUGGCCUAACCCUUGUGGGGGAGCCGUCGAAGUGACCCGCCCU